rnacentral:rRNA from 2 species
CAACAGGGAUUGCCUCAGUAACGGCGAGUGAAGCGGCAAAAGCUCAAAUUUUAAAUCUGACGCCCACAAGCGUUCGAGUUGUACUUUGGAGAGGCAUCUUCGUAAGGGGUCCAGCCUAUGUUCCUUGGAACAGGGCGUCAUAGAGGGUGAGAAUCCCGUUCAUGGCUGGAUACUCCUUGUAUUAUGUAGUGUCUUCAACGAGUCGAGUUGUUUGGGAAUGCAGCUCAAAAUGGGUGGUAAAUUUCAUCUAAAGCUAAAUAUUGGCGAGAGACCGAUAGCGCACAAGUAGAGUGAUCGAAAGAUGAAAAGCACUUUGAAAAUAGAGUUAAAAAGUACGUGAAAUUGUUGAAAGGGAAGCGCUUGAGAUCAGAGUCAGUCGAUUAUAAACAACUUUCCUUCUGGAUGGUGCACUUAUUAUUGAUUGGGCCAGCAUCAGUUGGGACGGCAGGAUAAAGGCCAUGGGAAUGUGACUCCAUUUUGGAGUGUUAUAGCCCCUGGUGCCAUGCUGUCUGCCCUGACUGUGGACCGCGCUUCGGCUUGGAUGCUGGCUUAAU